GCGGGAGUAACUCAGGGGUAGAGUAUCACCUUGCCAAGGUGAGAGUCGCGGGUUCAAAUCCCGUCUCCCGCUCCA
rnacentral:tRNA from 1 species